rnacentral:sRNA from 1 species
ACGUCAAGAUAAUGAGGCGUUCAUCCUGAGCUGAUCAGGCAAUGAACGGGGAGCCUUCCAUCGCUGUGCUCAGCACGUCGCGAGCUCCUGCAAUAACUCAACACAACCUCACUCUGCUACACAUUAUCUGACG